rnacentral:sRNA from 1 species
GUUUACCUACUCAAGCCUCAGCAGUGGUGGACGCCCCUCCCGCAGCCUCGCCGCCGCCUUGCGGUUCAUCUGAGACUGCUGUGCUAGCAGUGAGCGAGGCUCCGUGGGCAUGGGACCCUCGGAGCCAGGCGUGGGAUAUAAUCUCCUCGUGUGCUGUUGGCUAAGGCUAUUGGAAAAGUGCAGUAUUAGGAUUUAUGGUGGAUUAUUUUCUGAAGAUCAGUGUUGGUACAGAUGCAAAGUACUGAAAAUCAUCAGCGUUGAAAAGUGUCUGGUGAGGUACAUUGACUAUGGAAAUACUGAAAUUCUAAAUCGAUCUGAUAUAGUUGAAAUUCCUUUGGAGCUGCAGUUUUCUAGUGUUGCCAAAAAGUAUAAACUUUGGGGACUACACAUUCCUUCUGAUCAAGAAGUUACCCAGUUUGAUCAGGGCACAACCUUUUUGGGGAGCUUGAUUUUUGAAAAGGAAAUAAAAAUGAGAAUUAAAGCAACCUCUGAAGAUGGAACAGUUAUUGCUCAGGCUGAGUAUGGCAGUGUGGAUAUAGGGGAAGAG